GGGCCACGGUGAGGUCCUGCGUGGGAGGGGGCACGUCUGAGUGGAUGCGAUGCACAGCCAUCCUGGACGCAGAGCUGAUGGGUUAGGCUGAUUUGGGGGCUUUUCUGUCAGGGAGGGUGACUUGCCCUUCUCAGUAUAGAAUUCCGCGGGCUCCUGCCCAGAACUGCCAAAGAGCACCUGCAAAGUUUGAGCGGCAUUGCUUUACCCCCCUCCACCCACCUGCAGACUCCCCCAUCCUUGGCCGCCUGAGACUGAUCCAGUUACUUCCCGGGUCCCUCUUUCUGAGGAGGAGAAGCUGUCUGCAUUUGGUCCCAACCAUGUCUCAAACCCUGGUAUGCACAAGACUCACCAGAAUGCCUUCCUGCUGGCUAGUGCCAUCAACUGACUGUCUCUACUCCUGGAUGAGAAGGAGACUUCCAAUGAUGAUG